rnacentral:rRNA from 1 species
AUUGAACGCUGGCGGCAUGCUUUACACAUGCAAGUCGAACGGUAACAGGCCUUCGGGUGCUGACGAGUGGCGAACGGGUGAGUAAUGCAUCGGAACGUGCCCAGAGGUGGGGGAUAACGCAGCGAAAGCUGUGCUAAUACCGCAUGUGAUCUGAGGAUGAAAGCGGGGGACCAGGCAGCAAUUUUUGGCCUCGCGCCUUUGGAGCGGCCGAUGUCAGAUUAGGUAGUUGGUGGGGUAAAGGCCUACCAAGCCGACGAUCUGUAGCUGGUCUGAGAGGACGACCAGCCACACUGGGACUGAGACACGGCCCAGACUCCUACGGGAGGCAGCAGUGGGGAAUUUUGGACAAUGGGCGCAAGCCUGAUCCAGCAAUGCCGCGUGCGGGAAGAAGGCCUUCGGGUUGUAAACCGCUUUUGUACGGAACGAAAAGGCUCUGGCUAAUACCUGGGGCUGAUGACGGUACCGUAAGAAUAAGCACCGGCUAACUACGUG